rnacentral:lncRNA from 1 species
AAAUAUUUUCGAUUACUGUAUGUCACUAUAUAUGUCUGAUUGUAUAUAUCUCUAAGCAAUAUUACAUAAUGAGGUAGUAUAUAUGUAAACAAAUCACAUAAUAUAUAUGUAUUAUGGAGUAGUAUAAAUGUAAUUGUUGAGCAAGAAAUUUCAACCAAUGAAAUUACACCACGUCGUCGCACCCAAGUUGUGAUGAUUAUAAUUUGAUUGGAUUUGGGUAGUCAAGUUUUCCAACCCAAUUCAAGCCCCUGAUAAAAAAUCAGGCCAAACAAAGGGGCCUAAGCCCACUAAGAAAAUGGGCCCAAGCCCAAGUCCAAGCUCAACAACUCAACAAGAAAAUGGGUCCAAAGCCCACAUAAAGUCCACAAAUUUUCUCUAUAAGUAGACCUUUGUCAUUCAUUCGAGAGAUCUUUUGUUGAAGGAAGAAAUGAAGCUCUGAAGUACUGAAGCUUUGAAGAAUUGAAGAUUCAAACUUCUAUAGAGCUCUCAAGACGUGCAAGUUUUUAUCAACUUCGAGAUCAUCGUCUUCUGAAAUAUUGAAGACUUGGAAGAUCAAAAUUUCCUUGAAUUCCAGAAGACUGAAGCUGAAAUAGACCGAACCAUUUAAAUUCGGUUUGGACUAUUUGAGACAGCAACAAACUGUGUUUUUUGUUUUGUACAUAAAUGGUGUGGUUUGAUUCGGUUUUAACAAGCGGUUCAAUUUAUACCGUUUAGACUUGAUCUUAUAUAAUGUGAAAUUAUUUUUUUUUCUUUGAAUUUUUAUCUAAGUGUACUCAAAUUGUAUACCAUGUUACAAAAUUAAUUGCAAUAAAUUUUUUAAAAUUUUCAAAAAUAUCAUAAAUUGACUAAUAUUUUAUACAAAUAUAGAGUAAAAAUGACCAAUUUACUCUUUUUAUUAUUAAUAAUAUAUUAAAAAUAAAAAGAAAAGUGAACCACGUUUAAGAUUUUCAUUUAUUAAAUAUUCUAUGAAAAUAUGGAUUAAAUUCUAUUAAAGUAAUAUUAUGUAAUGCCCAAAGAAAAGGUAAAUAUAUAUAUAUAUAUAUAUAUAUAUAUAUAUAUAUAUAUAUAUAUAUUACUUUUAUUUUAAUAUUAAAAAAUUUCUUUAUUUUUUUUCUCUUCUUUUCUUCUUUUUCUUUUUCUUUUCUUUUCUCCCAUCUUCUUCCCCGUGCGACCGCGACCCGUAUCCAUCUUCUCCACUCCGUUCUCCAUCUCCGUUCGCGAAGCAGCCUUGCAGCAGCCGCCGCGUAACUGUCUGAUCCAGAUCUGCGUCGCAGCCCAGAAACCGCCGCCCUUAUUUUCUUUCCGGUCGUUUUCUUUCUCCUUCGGAUCGAAACCGCCACGCCCAUCCACCUGUAACUGUCGUUGCUCUUCCGCCUCUGCCCAGUUUUGCCGCGCAACACCUGUCUCCGUCUAAGCCAAUCCAGCCGCCGUCUCUAUCUCCGUUCGCGAGGCAAAUCGCACGCCUCAGUCACAAACAGCCUCGCCGACGCAGGUCACGCCGCAUCGCACGAGUUCGGCUACGUUACCGGGCUACUCCCGUCUGCGCGUAACUGCUGUUGAACGUCCGAACCAUUCUGCCUUCGUCGAUACCCGCUGUCCAUUUACGAAUUGUGGACCGAUUCGCGUGCAGAUUUGUUUGCACGAUUUCUUUUGUGUAGAUCCUGCUGCGGCAACUUCUAUUUUAACGUCGAUUGUCAAAGUCUUGUUAUAAGUUAUUGGUAAGGAUGAGAUUGUUGGGUAAUAAGGUUUUACAUUUGUAAAUACAUUAAGAUGUGAUGUUUGUUUAAUUGGUUGAAUUGAUGUUUGUUCUUGAAGGCGACAUCGGUUAUUUGGAGUUAGUGUCCUUGAGUUACGCCUUAAGCUUUGUUGGAAUUCGAUUCUUUACUCUUUGGGGUUUGUUUGUUGGAAUUAGUUCGACCAAGAAAUUUUACAUAAAAUCGAGGUAAGGGAUUUUCUACUGGACUCAAUUGUGAUUGUGAACUGUGAUUGUGAACUGUAUGUGUGUUGAAUGUAUACUGUGGGUUGACUGAAAAUAUAUAUGAAUUGAAGUAGACUUGACGUUGAAUGUAUGUCGUGAUUGUCAUGGAAUCUAUGUAUAAAUGUGGGUAUGUGGACAGGACGGAGAUUGUAGAUUGUGUUUGUAUGAGAUUCUCGUUUAGAUUGGGUGUAUGAUUACGCUAAAGUAUGACUGUGUGCUGGUGAACUAAGGGGUGCAUUGACUGUAUAGUGGAUUGACUGAUGUAUUAGCAUAUUAUUGACAGACAUAUGACUGUAGUAAAAUAAGUUGACUGUUAGGAUGUUGAAAGAAAGAACUUUGUGACUUGAAGUAACUGAAAGAUGGGUUGAAUAGAAUGAGGGGAAAAUUGUUAGAUUGUAUUGGGAUGUUUACCUGGUAGGUGUCCCACGGGAUCACCAAUUUAUUGUGCACCUUCGGGAGCAUUUGACUGAUAUGUGUUUCUACAGAACACUAGACUGAUAUGUACGUCCCUCGGGGCGUUAGACUGAGAUGUGUAUCCUACGGGAUCACAAGACUGCGACUGUACAGGGUGUCCCAAUAGAACUUUAACAAUUUAUUUUCCCCUGACGAGACCAGUAGAGGGUCUCUUACUGAGUAUUUAAAUACUCACCCUUCUUAUGUUUAAUUUUCAGGCAAAGGUAAUAAAGGCGGCAAACAGGCGAGGGGUAGGAAGGAAGCGUGAUGCCAUAGGAAACGUGUUUUUGCUUCCACUUAUGGGUUCUUGUGAGGUUUAAAAUGAAUUGAAAUUUAGUUUACAAACGUUUGUUGUAAAUAGUAUUAUUUUAUGUUUUCUUGAAUGUUUAAAAAUCAGGCCUGACUUGAAGAUGUUUUUUUUAAAUUGCUUACGUUUUGUUUUAUAUUAAUCAAAGUCUUUUAUUUGUAAAAAACUAAUAACGACCUCGACUUACUUAGAAAAGUUGGGUCGUUACAGUUGGUAUCAGAGCCUAAGUUUUAGGUUCUGUAGACUGACUUAUGAUGUAAGUCUAUGUUUUUGUUUUCCUAUGGCUAACACGACCCUUCGUAUCUCGUCAUGUAUGCUUGAUGCUUAUAUGUAUGGUUUAUUUGCAUGACCUUGCCUAAAUUAAACUAGAUUGCAUGACGAUAAAGACUUGCUUAUGCGUAUGAUUAAGAUUUUGUUAAAGAGUGUUGUUGGUGGAUAAUAGGAAUUAUGCCGCCAAGGGAAGGUGUACGUAGAGGAGGUCGUAGAGGCCGAGGUAGAGGAGUAGGAGGCCGAGGUAGAGGAGCAGGUCGUAAUCAGCCUACUGAGGGUCAAGCUGAACAGCGAAUUCCUGCUGCACCCGUGACUCACGUUGAGUUUGAUGCACUGUCUGCUCACAUGGAGCAGAGGUUUACAGAACUUAUGACAGCUAUAGCUCAAAACCAGCAGGCACCUGCGGUUCCACCUGCACCUGUAGUUCCCCCUGCACCAGCAGCCCCUCCUGCACAAGAAUUACCGAACCAACUUUCUGCUGAGGCGAAACAUUUGAGGGACUUUCGGAAGUAUGACCCUCAGACGUUUGAUGGGUCACUGGAGGAUCCUACUAAAGCUGAAAUGUGGUUGUCCUCUGUGGAAACCAUAUUUAAUUACAUGAGAUGUCGCGAGGAGCACAGAGUUCAGUGUGCUGCUUUUCUACUAAGGGACAGAGGCAUUAUCUGGUGGAGGACUACAAUGCGCAUGCUAGGUGGAGAUGUGAGGCAAAUUACCUAGGAUCAGUUUAAGGACUGCUUCUAUACCAAGUUUUUCUCGGCUAACCUUAGAGAUGCCAAAAGCCAGGAAUUCUUGGAGUUAAAGCAAGGAUAUAUGACAGUCGAGGAGUACGACCAGGAGUUUGAUAUGCUGUCACGUUUUGCCCCUGAGCUUGUUAGUAAUGAGCAGGCUAGAGCUGAUAGGUUCGUCAAGGGAUUGAGAUAUGAAAUUAGGGGCUUUGUGCGAGCACUAAAGCCCACUACCCAAGCUGAAGCACUGCGUCGGGCAGUGGAUAUGAGCGUUGGGAAGGAUGAAAUACAGCCAAGGAGCUUUGAUAAGGGAUCGUCGUCGGGUCAAAAGAGAAAAGUAGAGCAGAGAACUGUAGGAGUUCCUCAGAGGAACUUGAGACCAGGCGAUUCCUUUUCGCAGUUUCCAGCAGAGUUCUGGCGGUGCAGGAGACACUACUCGAGAGAGGCCAGUAUGUAAUACGUGUGGGAAACGCCACCUGGGUCGUUGUUUGAUGGGAACGAGAGUCUGUUAUAAGUGCAAGCAAGAGGGACACAUGGCUGAUAGGUGUCCCUUGAGAUCUACUGGGGCUGGAUCGAGCAGUCAGGGAGAGAGACCUCCACAGCGGGGUACAAUCUUUGCCACUAAUAGAUCAGAGGCAGAGAAGGCCGGCACAGUAGUGACAGGUACAUUACCAGUGUUAGGGCAUUUUGCCUUGACCUUGUUUGACUCGGGAUCUUCUCAUUCAUUUAUUUCAUCGCUUUUUGUGACGCAUGCAUGCUUAGAGGUGGAACCCUUAGACUAUGUUUUGUCAGUGUCUACACCGUCUGGAGAAAUUAUGUUGUCUAAGGAAAAGAUUAAAGCAUGUGAAAUUGAGAUAGCUGGUCGUGUGCUGGACGUAACCUUGUUGGUAUUAGAUAUGCGUGACUUUGAUGUAAUUUUAGGUAUGGAUUGGCUAGCUACUAAUCAUGCUAGUAUUGAUUGUUCUCGUAAGGAAGUUGUGUUCAGUCCCCCUACUGCAUCUAGCUUUAAAUUCAAGGGGUAGGAACAGUAGUACUGCCUAAAGUAAUCUCAGCUAUGAAAGCUAGUAAACUACUCAACCAGGGUACUUGGAGUAUUUUGGCAAGUGUGGUGGAUACUAGGGAAGGUGAGACUUCUUUAACUUCAGAACCUGUGGUAAGAGACUACCCAGAUGUAUUUCCAAAAGAUCUUCCAGGACUACCGCCACAUAGAGAGGUUGAUUUUGCCAUUGAGUUGGAGCCAAACACUACUCCUAUUUCUAGAGCCCCUUAUAGGAUGGCUCCUGCUGAGUUGAAAGAACUGAAGGUACAGUUACAGGAAUUGCUUGACAAAGGCUUUAUUCGACCUAGUGUGUCACCUUGGGGUGCACCAGUAUUGUUUGUGAAGAAGAAGGAUGGGUCGAUGCGUCUUUGCAUUGACUAUAGAGAGUUGAAUAAAGUAACAGUCAAGAACAGAUAUCCUUUACCCAGAAUCGAUGAUUUGUUCGAUCAGUUACAGGGAGCCACGGUGUUCUCUAAGAUUGACUUACGGUCAGGUUAUCACCAGUUGAGGAUUAGAGACCGUGAUAUUCCUAAGACUGCUUUUCGUUCGAGGUAUGGACAUUAUGAAUUCAUAGUAAUGUCUUUUGGUUUGACUAAUGCACCUGCUGUAUUUAUGGAUUUGAUGAACAGGGUGUUUAAGGAUUUCUUAGACACUUUUGUGAUAGUCUUCAUUGAUGAUAUUUUGGUUUAUUCCAAGACUGAAGCCGAACAUGAGGAACACUUACAUAAGGUGUUAGAGACUCUUCGAGUCAAUAAACUGUAUGCUAAGUUCUCUAAGUGCGAAUUUUGGUUGAAGCAGGUGGCUUUUCUUGGUCAUGUGGUUUCCAGUGAGGGAGUUUCAGUAGACCCUGCAAAGAUAGAAGCGGUUACCAGUUGGUCUCGACCCUCUACAGUUAGUGAGGUUCGUAGUUUUCUGGGUUUAGCAGGGUACUACCGGAGGUUUGUGGAGGAUUUUUCACGUUUGGCUACUCCCUUGACUCAGUUGACAAGGAAGGGAACUCCGUUUGUUUGGAGUCCAGCUUGUGAGGAUAGUUUUCAGAACCUUAAGCAAAGGUUAGUUACUGCACCGGUCCUUACUGUACCAGAUGGAUCUGGAAGUUUUGUGAUUUACAGUGAUGCUUCCAAGAAAGGACUGGGUUGUGUUUUGAUGCAGAAAGGUAAGGUGGUUGCUUAUGCCUCUCGUCAGUUGAAGAGUCACGAGCAGAACUACCCCACACAUGAUUUGGAGUUGGCAGCAGUGGUUUUUGCAUUGAAGAUAUGGAGACAUUACUUGUACGGUGAAAAGAUACAAAUCUUUACUGACCAUAAGAGCCUAAAGUACUUCUUCACUCAGAAGGAGUUGAAUAUGAGACAGCGAAGGUGGCUCGAGUUGGUAAAAGAUUAUGACUGUGAGAUAUUGUACCAUCCUGGUAAGGCGAAUGUGGUGGCUGAUGCUCUUAGUAGAAAAGUAUCACAUUCGGCAGCACUCAUUACUAGACAGGUACCAUUGCAUCGAGACUUGGAGAGAGCUGAGAUUGCAGUGUCUGUGGGGAGAGUCACCUCACAGCUAGCUCAAUUAACGGUGCAACCAACACUGAGACAGAAGAUUGUUGAUGCUCAGAGUAAUGAUCCUUAUUUGAUGGAGAGACGUCGCCUUGUUGAAACAGGGCAGAUUGAUGAGUUCUCCAUAUCCUCUGAUGGUGGGUUGAUGUUUGAGAGACGUUUAUGUGUGCCAGCGAACAGUACAGUUAAGAUUGACUUACUAGAUGAAGCCCAUAAUUCCUCAUUUUCCAUGCAUCAUGGUAGCACGAAAAUGUAUCAGGAUCUAAAACGAUUUUAUUGGUGGCGGAAUAUGAAAAGGGAAGUGGCGGAAUUUGUUAGUAAGUGUCUAGUAUGUCAGCAAGUUAAGGCACCUAGACAGAAACCAGCAGGUUUGUUACAACCCUUAAGUGUGCCAGAGUGGAAGUGGGAGAAUGUGUCGAUGGAUUUUAUUUCAGGGCUGCCUAAGACCCUGAAGGGUUUCACAGUGAUUUUGGUUGUCAUAGACAGGCUUACGAAAUCGGCACAUUUUGUACCAGGAAAAUCCACUUAUACUGCUAGUAAGUGGGCAGAGUUGUAUUUAACUGAGAUUGUGAGACUGCAUGGAGUGCCUGUAUCGAUUGUUUCUGAUAGGGAUGCACGGUUUACUUCCAAGUUUUGGAAGGGACUUCAGACUGCUAUGGGUACGAGAUUGGAUUUCAGUACAGCCUUUCAUCCACAGACUGAUGGUCAAACUGAACGUUUGAACCAAGUUUUAGAGGAUAUGCUACGAGCUUGUGUUAUAGAGUUUCCAGGUAGUUGGGACUCUCAUCUACAUUUGAUGGAGUUUGCUUAUAACAACAGUUUCCAGGCUACCAUCGGUAUGGCGCCAUUUGAAGCUUUGUAUGGUAAAUGUUGUAGAACCCCUAUUUGUUGGGGUGAGGUUGGUGAACAUAGGUUGAUGGGACCUGAAUUAGUUUGGUCUACUAAUGAGGCUAUUCAAACGAUUAGAACGCGUAUGCAAACAGCGCAGAGUAGACAAAAGAGUUAUGCAGAUGUACGGCGAAAAAGACCUUAAGUUCGAUGUGGGAGAAAAGGUAUUCUUGAAGGUAGCACCAAUGAAGGGUGUUAUGCGUUUUGAGAAGAAAGGGAAGUUAAGUCCUCGAUUUGUUGGACCAUUUGAGAUCUUAGAGAGGGUUGGUGUUGUGGCGUAUCGCUUGGCAUUACCACCAUCACUCUCUGCAGUUCAUAAUGUUUUCCAUGUUCCGAUGUUGAGGAAGUAUGUGGCCGAUACAUCUCAUGUAGUGGACUAUGAACCCUUGGAGAUUGAUGAGCAUUUGAGCUAUGUAGAACAACCUGUGGAGAUUCUGGCUAGAGAGGUAAAGAUGCUUCGUAAUAGAAGCAUUCCAUUAGUAAAGGUUUUGUGGCGGAAUCAUCGAAUUGAAGAGGCGACAUGGGAGCGAGAGGAAGAAAUGAGGACUCGUUAUCCAGAGUUAUUUCAGGAUUAAAACUUUCGAGGACGAAAGUUUCUUAAGGAGGGAAGAAUGUAAUGCCCAAAGAAAAGGUAAAUAUAUAUAUAUAUAUAUAUAUAUAUAUAUAUAUAUAUAUAUAUAUAUAUAUAUUAUUUUUAUUUUAAUAUUAAAAAAUUUCUUUAUUUUUUUUCUCUUCUUUUCUUCUUUUUCUUUUUCUUUUCUUUUCUCCCAUCUUCUUCCCCGUGCGACCGCGACCCCAUCCAUCUUCUCCACUCCGUUCUCCAUCUCCGUUCGCGAAGCAGCCUUGCAGCAGCCGCGGCGUAACUGUCUGAUCCAGAUCUGCGUCGUAGCCCAGAAACCGCCGCCCUUAUUUUCUUUCCGGUCGUUUUCUUUCUCCUUCGGAUCGAAACCGCCGCGCCCAUCCACCUGUAACUGCCAUUGCUCUUCCGCCUCUGCCCAGUUUUGUCGCGCAACACCUGUCUCCGUCGAAGCCAACCCAGCCGCCGUCUUUAUCUCCGUUCGCGAGGUAAAUCGCACGCCUUAGUCACGAACAGCCUCGCCGGUAUUAGCAUAUUAUUGACAGACAUAUGACUGUAGUAAAAUAAGUUGACUGUUAGGAUGUUGAAAGAAAGAACUUUGUGACUUGAAGUAACUGAAAGAUGGGUUGAAUGGAAUGAGGGGAUAAAUUGUUAGAUUGUAUUGGGAUGUUUACCUUGUAGGUGUCCCACGGGAUCACCAAUUUAUUGUGCACCUUCGGGAGCAUUUGACUGAUAUGUGUUUCUGCAGAACACUAGACUGAUAUGUACGUCCCUUGGGGCGUUAGACUGAUAUGUACGUCCCUCGGGGCAUUAGACUGAGAUGUGUAUCCUACGGGAUCACAAGACUGCGACUGUACAGGGUGUCCCAAUAGAACUUUAACAAUUUAUUUUCCCCUGACGAAACCAGUAGAGGGUCUCUUACUGAGUAUUUAAAUACCCACCCUUCUUAUAUAUGUUUAAUUUUCAGGCAAAGGUAAUAAAGGCGACAAACAGGCGAGGGGCAGGAAGGAAGCGUGAUGCCAUAGGAAACGUGUUUUUGCUUCCACUUAUGGGUUCUUGUGAGGUUUAAAAUGAAUUGAAAUUUAGUUUACAAACGUUUGUUGUAAAUAGUAUUAUUUUAUGUUUUCUUGAAUGUUUAAAAAUCAGGCCUGACUUGAAGAUGUUUUUUUUUAAAUUGCUUACGUUUUGUUUUAUAUUAAUCAAAGUCUUUUAUUUGUAAAAAAAUAAUAACGACCUCGACUUACUUAGAAAAGUUGGGUCGUUACAUAUUAAUAAUAAAAAUUGUCCUUAGUUUGCUUUUUAUGAUUUUAUUAAAAAAUUGUCCUUUUUUAUUCUGCAUUCUUUUUCAUAUAUUUUAUAUAAUUAUAGUAUAUAUUGAAUAAUAUAAUGUAUAUUUUAUUAGUGAAAUGUUCUUAUAUCAAUUUAUUUAUUUAUUUUAUUUAAAUAUUCAUAUCUUACAUAGUAAAUAAUACAUUAUGUUUGAAAUAAUAUUAAUUAUACAUGAAAGUUGUUUAUGUUUACAAGAACAUGAAUGAGAAAUAAUUAUGAUGAGUAUAUGUAAUAUAUGUCAUUAAAAUAUUUGUUAUUCUCUAGUAUAUGUAAUAGGGGUGUUCAAAAUGAAGUUGAAAACUGAAUCGAAUCACUAAUCGAACCGAAAUCGAAUGCAUAUGGUUCGGUUCGAUUCGAUUUCUAUUUCAAAAAAACCACAUAAAAUUCGGUUCGGUUCAGUUUAAGAUGUUAAGAACCGAUUCUCAAACCGAACUGAAUUGCUUUAUUUUAAAAACUAAAUAUAUAUAUAUAUAUAUAUAUAUAUAUAUGUGUGUGUUAAUAAUAAGACUUUUUUAGACUUCAAAGCGGGUAUAGAGGCAAAAAUCAAUGAGAGGAACGAAAAGGAGAAGAAUGACAUAAUCAAAACGUAAAUGACAAGUUGUCUUGACGAAGUUUGCAUGACUGUAGGACUUUUAUUCAUCUUAGGGGGAUUUUAAAACUUCUAUGUGUUGUUGGACUUUCAAAUUUCAAUGUUUGAAACAUCUAUGUCUGUAAUUUUGAAAUUUCUAUGUUUAUAACUUUGUAUAAGCCGUUCGGUUUUGAUUUGAUUUUAUUUAUGUAUAUGUGGUUCGGUUUUCAUUCGGUUUGGCAUAGAUGAGCGGUUCGGUUCGGUUUCAAUGAAGAUUUUUUUUAUCAUUUUGCGGUUCGAUGCGGUUUUAGCUUCAAACCGAACCGCGAACACCACUAAUAUGUAAUGUUGAGAUCAACUGAAUAUGUUUGUAAUGUAGGGACUUUGAUGAAAGAAUUGAAGAUUCAGGAAAUUGUAUGAAAAAAAAUGGUUGAAUGUUAAAUUGACUUAUGAAUAGUGUAUAUGAAACAAUACAUUAUAUAUUUUUAUGAAUGAAAUGUUAUGCAAUCAAUUUGUUAAACUGGUUUAUUUAUUUUAUUUCAAAUAUUUAUUUUAUAUGUAAUAAUAAUAAUAAGUUAUGUUUGAAACAGCAGUAUAAGGAUAUAUCAUAAUAUAUAUUGUUCAUUUAAGGUUAGUAAGAAUUUUAUAUUUUGUAUUUGAAAUAUACUAUGAUAUAUUGAGUACAUCAAAGAUGACAUCAUUUAUGUACUAUUGAAAAUAUGAAGUAGUAUAUAUAUGUAACAAAUCACAUAAGAUAUAUGUAUCAUGUACUAGUAUAUACGUCAUUAUUUAUAUAUACACACCUAAUGAAAAAAAGUAGAGUGUGUGGGACCCACGUAUAUAAAUAAUGAGAAAAUAAAAAAUGUUGGCCCAAUGUAAUAUAUAUAUAAAGUAAAAAAUAAACUAUGUAGGGUCCACUGCAUGAAAAUUGUGUAGGGGUACAAAACUUCACCUCAACUCACCUAUUUUUGUCAAUAGUUUUGCAUUCACCUACUUUUGACAUAUGUUUCAAAAUUUACAUUAUUUUUUAAAAAAGUUCUAUACAUAAUAAAUAAUAACUCGUGAUUGAAACAAGAGUGGUUAUGUAUGAAUGAUAGUAUAUUAAAUAUAAUAAAUUGAAAAAAAUUGAUUGGUACCGUAGAUGAAAAUUUAUGAAAAAAUAUAGAAAUAAAAUAACUAAAUUAAAAACUGAAAUAUGAAUAUUUCAAAUAAAAGUAUAAAUCAACAUACUAAAAGUUUAAUAAUAAGAAAGAAAAAUUAGUUCAAUAAGGAAAGCUUGCAUCUCUUUCGUUUAUGACAACCACAUUUAAAACUUCAUUUUAGAAUGAAUUCUAAUAUUUUUUUGUUGACCAACUGAACGUUUGACAUUCAAUGGGAUGAUGUCAACUUCAACUACUGUAUUAUUGAAUAUAUGCAUUAGUAUGUAUGUAACAAAUCAAAUAAAAUACUAAUCGAAUAUAGAAAAAUAUAAAGAAAAUGAUACAAAACGUGAAGGAAAAAAACUGAACUAUAUAUGUGUCACAAAAUACGUGUUAUUAUAUUUAUAUAAAUGUAUAUAUUGAUAACAUCAACCUGUCUAUGUAGUGAUAUAUAUUGAAAUUCAACUAUAAAAUUAUGUAGAACUAUAUGUCACUAAAUAUUUAUGUUGUAAAUAAGGUGUAUUUAUAUAUUAAAUCACAUCAUAAACAUAUUAUAAUUUACGAGUAUAUUAUAGUAUAUAUUGUUCAUUUAAAAAAUAUAUGACAAAUAGAAGGUAUAUAAUUAUACGAAGUGAGAAUAUGUAUGUAUGAUAUUCUCACUACAUAUUAUAUAUACACUAAGAAUGUGUAUUUUACUGUUUUAGUAGUAUUUACUAUAUAAAUAUAUAUUUUAAAUAUUAAUUAUUAAUGAAUAUAUAGUUUACUACAUGUUGUUACAACAUACUUAAGAUAUAAAUGUUUAUAUGACUAACAACAUAAUAUUACUAUAAGAUAAACAAAAAAAUAAAGAACAGAUUGAAUUGAAAAAUAUUUUCGAUUAUUGUAUGUCACUAUAUAUGUCUGAUUGUAUAUAUCUCUAAGCAAUAUUGUAAUGCCCCAAGAAGAGAGGAAGAAAAAAGAGGAAAAGAAGGAAAGGUAUAUAUAUUAUUUUUUUUCUUUUUUUUCUUUUCUUUUUCUUUUUUUCUUUUCUCUUCUCUUCUCCUCCCGUGCGCCCUUCCCCUUCUCCCCGUUCGCAGCGCAGCAACCGCCGCCGGUCAUCUCCAUCUUUUCUUCUCCUCUCCGCUCCUUCCAGACCCAGCCUCACCGUCGCGUCUCCCCUACUGAAGCCGAACGCCCGAUCUGCCGUCUCCAUUUCCGUUCGCAAAGCAGGACCGCGCCGUUGCUCUUCCGCCGCUGCCCGGUCCAGAUCUGCGUCGCAGCCCAGCAACCGCCGCCGCCGCCCCUAUUUUUCUUUCCGGUCGUUUUCUUCUCUUCUUCGGAUCCACAACUGCCGUUGUAACCGUCGGCCGCCGCGUGACCUCUGCCCAGUUCCGCCGCGCAACACCUGUCUCCGUCGAAGCCAAGCCAGCCGCCAUCCAUUCCUUUCCUUUCUCCUCUGUUUUCAGCACUGUCGCGCGACCGCUAACCGACCCACAUUUAGGAUUUUUGCUGCGAGUUCGACAUUCGUGCGUUGAGGUGUUGGGAGUAUCGUUAGACUCCCUUACAUUCACAAUCAGUUUGUGAAUUGUUGAGGGUUCAGUUCGCCAAUAUUUCGGUGAGUUGGAACUUACGUUGAGGAAAGUAAGUGAGAUAUGUAUCGUGAAAGUAAUUGAAGUUUUGUGUUGUUGUGCUUAGGAUUGUUUCGAGGACGUUAGUUGAUUAAGAAGCUUCCCCAACUUUGAGGUAAGGGACUUUCUACUGGACUCACCUAAAGUUUUUGAGUUGUGUUGGACUGUAUGGAUGAUGAUUAAGAUGUACAUGUUUGGUUGCAGACUAAAUGUUUAGUGUAUGUUGUAUUUGACUGGAAACAUAUAUAUAUACAUUGAUGUGUGAAUUGAUGUGGAUUGCCGAAAGUAUACAUGUGAAUGACUGAAAUUAUGCUUAUGUGUACAUGAUGAUAUUAAUAGAUUGUGUUGUAUAAAGAUUUGGAUGUAAACUAGUGAAUUUAUUUCGGUUGGAUGUGGAUUAUACUGAACUGUGGUUUGUGCUGGUGAACUGAGGGGUGUAUUGACUGUAUAGUUUGAUUGACUGACAUAUUAGUAUAUUAUUGACAGACAUAUGACUAAAGUGAGAUAAGUUGACUGUUAGGACGUUGAGAGAAAGAACUUUAUGUUUUGAAGUAACUGAAAGAUGGAUUGAAUGGAAUGAGGGGAUAAAUUGUUAGAUUGUAUUGGGAUGUUUACCUUGUAGGUGUCCCACGGGAUCACCAAUUUAUUUUGCACCUUCAGGAGCAUUUGACUGAUAUGUGUUUCUGCAGAACACUAGACUGAUAUGUACGUCCCUCGGGGCGUUAGACUGAUAUGCACGUCCCUCGGGGCGUUAGACUGAUAUGUACGUCCUUCGGGGCGUUAGACUGAAAUGUGUAUCCUACGGGAUCACAAGACUGCGACUGUACAGGGUGUCCCAAUAGAACUUUAACAAUUUAUUUUCCCCUGACGAGACCAGUAGAGGGUCUCUUACUGAGUAUUGUUAUACUCACCCUUCUUAUGUUUAAUUUUCAGGCAAAGGAAAUAAAGGUGGCAAACCGGCGAGGGGCAGGAAGGAAGCGUGAUUGCCAUAGGAAAUGUGUCAUUUUGCUUCCGCUUAUGGUUUCUUUUGAGGUUUAAGAUGUACUAAAACUUAGUUUUACAAACUUUUAUUUGUAAAUAGUGUUAUUUUUAAGUUUUCUUGAAUAUUUGAAAAUCAGGCCUGACAUAAAUUGUUUUUAAAUUGACUUACGUUUCAUUUUGUAUCAACCAAAGUCUUUUGUUAAAAAUUAACGACCUCGACUUACCCAGAAAAGUUGGGUCGUUACAAAUAUUACAUAAUGAGGUAGUAUAUAUGUAACAAAUCACAUAAUAUAUAUGUAUUAUGGAGAAGUAUAAAUGUAAUUGUUGAGCAAGAAACUUCAACCAAUGAAAUUACACCACGUCGUCGCACCCAAGUUGUGAUGAUUAUAAUUUGAUUGGAUUUGGGUAGUCAAGUUUUCCAACCCAAUUCAAGCCCCUGAUAAAAAAUCAGGCCAAACAUAGGGGCCUAAGCCCACUAAGAAAAUGGGCCCAAGCCCAAGUCCAAGCUCAACAACUCAACAAGCAAAUGGGUCCAAGCCCACAUAAAGUCAACAAAUUUUCUCUAUAAGUAGAGACCUUUGUCAUUCAUUCGAGAGAUCUUUUGUUUAAGGAAGAAAUGAAGCUCUGAAGUACUGAAGCUUUGAAGAAUUGAAGAUUCAAACUUCUAUAGAGCUCUCAAGACGUGCAAGUUAUUAUCAACUUUGAGAUCAUCGUCUUCUGAAAUAUUGAAGACUUGGAAGAUCAAAAUUUCCUUGAAUUCCAGAAGACUGAAGCUGAAAUAGACCGAACCAUUUAAAUUCGGUUUGGACUAUUUGAGACAGCAACAAACUGUGUUUUUUGUUUUGUACAUAAAUGGUGUGGUUUGAUUCGGUUUUAACAAGCGGUUCAAUUUAUACCGUUUAGACAUGAUCUUAUAUAAUGUGAAAUUAUUUUUUUUUCUUUGAAUUUUUAUCUAAGUGUACUCAAAUUGUAUACCAUGUUACAAAAUUGCAAUAAAUUUUUUAAAAUUUUCAAAAAUAUCAUAAAUUGACUAAUAUUUUAUACAAAUAUAGAGUAAAAAUGACCAAUUUACUCUUUUUAUUAUUAAUAAUAUAUUAAAAAUAAAAAGAAAAGUGAACCACGUUUAAGAUUUUCAUUUAUUAAAUAUUCUAUGAAAAUAUGGAUUAAAUUUUAUUAAAGUAAUAUUAAUAAUAAAAAUUGUCCUUAGUUUGCUUUUUAUGAUUUUAUUAAAAAAUUGUCCUUUUUUUAUUUUGCAUUCUUUUUCAUAUAUUUUAUAUAAUUAUAGUAUAUAUUGAAUAAUAUAAUGUAUAUUUUAUUAGUGAAAUGUUCUUAUAUCAAUUUAUUUAUUUAUUUUAUUUAAAUAUUCAUAUCUUACGUAGUAAAUAAUACAUUAUGUUUGAAAUAAUAUUAAUUAUAUAUGAAAGUUGUUUAUGUUUACAAGAACAUGAAUGAGAAAUAAUUAUGAUGAGUAUAUGUAAUAUAUGUCAUUAAAAUAUUUGUUAUUCUCUAGUAUAUGUAAUAGGGGUGUUCAAAAUGAAGUUGAAAACUGAAUCGAAUCACUAAUCGAACCGAAAUCGAAUGCAUAUGGUUCGGUUCGAUUCGAUUUCUAUUUCAAAAAAACCACAUAAAAUUCGGUUCGGUUCAGUUUAAGAUGUUAAGAACCGAUUCUCAAACCGAACUGAAUUGCUUUAUUUUAAAAACUAAAUAUAUAUAUAUAUAUAUAUAUAUAUAUAUAUAUAUGUGUGUGUGUGUUAAUAAUAAGACUUUUUUAGACUUCAAAGCGGGUAUAGAGGCAAAAAUCAAUGAGAGGAACGAAAAGGAGAAGAAUGACAUAAUCAAAACGUAAAUGACAAGUUGUCUUGACGAAGUUUGCAUGACUGUAGGACUUUUAUUCAUCUUAGGUGGAUUUUAAAACUUCUAUGUGUUGUUGGACUUUCAAAUUUCAAUGUUUGAAACAUCUAUGUCUGUAACUUUGUAUAAGCCGUUCGGUUUUGAUUUUAUUUUAUUUAUGUAUAUGUGGUUCGAUUUUCUUUGGCAUAGAUGAGCGGUUCGGUUCGGUUUCAAUGAAGAUUUUUUUUAUCAUUUUGCGGUUCGAUGCGGUUUUAGCUUCAAACCGAACCGCGAACACCACUAAUAUGUAAUGUUGAGACCAACUGAAUAUGUUUGUAAUGUAGGGACUUUGAUGAAAGAAUUGAAGAUUCAGGAAAUUGUAUGAAAAAAAAUGGUUGAAUGUUAAAUUGACUUAUGAAUAGUGUAUAUGAAACAAUACAUUAUAUAUUUUAUGAAUGAAAUGUUAUGCAAUCAAUUUGUUAAACUGGUUUAUUUAUUUUAUUUGAAAUAUUUAUUUUAUAUGUAAUAAAUAAUAAGUUAUGUUUGAAACUGCAGUAUAAGGAUAUAUCAUAAUACAUAUUGUUCAUUUAAGGUUAGUAAGAAUUUUAUAUUUUGUAUUUGAAAUAUAAUAUGAUAUAUUGAGUACAUCAAAGAUGACAUCAUUUAUGUACUAUUGAAAAUAUGAAGUAGUAUAUAUAUGUAACAAAUCACAUAAGAUAUAUGUAUCAUGUACUAGUAUAUACGUCAUUAUUUAUAUAUACACACCUAAUGAAAAAAAGUAGAGUGUGUGGGACCCACGUAUAUAAAUAAUGAGAAAAUAAAAAAUGUUGGCCCAAUGUAAUAUAUAUAUAAAGUAAAAAAUAAACUAUGUAGGGUCCACUGCAUGAAAAUUGUGUAGGGGUACAAAACUGCACCUCAACUCAUCUAUUUUUGUCAAUAGUUUUGCAUUCACCUACUUUUGACAUAUGUUUCAAACUUUACAUUAUUUUUUAAAAAAAGUUCUAUACAUAAUAAAUAAUAACUCGUGAUUGAAACAAGAGUGGUUAUGUAUGAAGGAUAGUAUAUUAAAUAUAAUAAAUUGAAAAACUUUGAUUGGUACCGUAGAUGAAAAUUUAUGAAAAAAUAUAGAAAUAAAAUAACUAAAUUAAAAACUGAAAUAUGAAUAUUUCAAAUAAAAGUAUAAAUCAACAUACUAAAAGUUUAAUAAUAAGAAAGAAAAAUUAGUUCAAUAAGGAAAGCUUGCAUCUCUUUCGUUUAUGACAACCACAUUUAAAACUUCAUUUUAGAAUGAAUUCUAAUAUUUUUUUGUUGACCAACUGAACGUUUGACAUUCAAUGGGAUGAUGUCAACUUCAACUACUGUAUUAUUGAAUAUAUGCAUUAGUAUGUAUGUAACAAAUCAAAUAAAAUACUAAUCGAAUAUAGAAAAAUAUAAAGAAAAUGAUACAAAACGUGAAGAAAAAAAACUGAACUAUAUAUGUGUCACAAAAUACGUGUUAUUAUAUUUAUAUAAAUGUAUAUAUUGAUAACAUCACCUGUCUAUGUAGUGAUAUAUAUUGAAAUUCAACUAUAAAUUAUGUAGAACUAUAUGUCACUAAAUAUUUAUGUUGUAAAUAAGGUGUAUCUAUAUAUUAAAUCACAUCAUAAACAUAUUAUAAUUUACGAGUAUAUUAUAGUAUAUAUUGUUCAUUUAAAAAAUAUAUGACAAAUAGAAGGUAUAUAAUUAUACGAAGUGAGAAUAUGUAUGUAUGAUAUUCUCACUGCAUAUUAUAUAUACACUAAGAAUGUGUAUUUUACUGUUUUAGUAGUAUUUACUAUAUAAAUAUAUAUUUUAAAUAUUAAUUAUUAAUGAAUAUAUAGUUUACUACAUGUUGUUACAACAUACUUAAGAUAUAAAUGUUUAUAUGACUAACAACAUAAUAUUACUAUAAGAUAAACAAAAAAAUAAAGAACAGAUUGAAUUGAAAAAUAUUUUCGAUUAUUGUAUGUCACUAUAUAUGUCUGAUUGUAUAUAUCUCUAAGCAAUAUUAGAUAAUGAGGUAGUGUAACGACCCAACUUUUCUAAGUAAGUCGAGAUCGUAAAUUUUUAACAAAUAAAGACUUUGAUUAAUAUAAAACAAAACGUAAACAAUUAAAAAAAAACAUUUUCAAGUCAGGCCUGAUUUUUAAACAUUCAAGAAAACAUAAAAUAAUACUAUUUACAACAAACGUUUGUAAACUAAAUUUCAAUUCAUUUUAAACCUCACAAGAACCCAUAAGCGGAAGCAAAAACACG